AAUAGGCAAAACAUUCAAUUUUACAGUCUACAUUUGCUUCGAGGAUAAUGAAGCGAGAUAUGGUUCUUAGUAUCCUCACUUUUUUCAUCUGAAUGAUAAUUCUGUAGCAGUACCACAGGAGCAACCUGGUUAUGACCCGCUUCAUAAACUGAGACCAUUCAUGGACCACUUGAACCAUGCCUCUCAGAAUACAUACAUCCUUGACCCGCACAUUAGCAUUGACGAGGGCACGAGGCCAUGUGUCCAUGGAGGGGCCGGCUAAGCUUCAAGGUGUACAUGAGGACAAGCCCAUCAAGUGAGGAAUCAUGCUAUACGAGUAUGCCAAAAAAAAGUCUAGGAAGGACCUGGUGAUGUUGGCAGAGGGAUCGUACAUGAAGCCGACGGUGUGUUUUGGAGCAGAGAUAACAAACAUUCCUCCAACCAGAAUGACACAGCAGACGACAACAAUGGCGGUCAUGGUGGACGUCUUCAGCAGCCGCUUUGCGUGGAGGGGACUGACGACACAGAAACAGCGCUCACAGGCGAUGACAGCCGACAGCAACUGAGAGGCCCACUCGGCGCUGGUAAAGCCUAAAUCAGUAACGAUACAGUGUCCUCUGAUGUUUAUAACUCUUUAACUGCAUAAAGCACGCCUAGUCGUAAAUCAUUAUUUCUUACGAAGAUGAAUUAUAUAUCGAAAUAUAUAUUAGACUGUAAUGGACAGUAAGAUCGAGCGCAACUCACAAAAAAGAAGGAAUUUCUAUGAAAUCAAAUGGCGUUGACAUAAAACAUUUCUAAAACUCCAUCACAAAAAACGCGAUGAAAAAGAAUUGUCAACACUCACUCCCCGAAUAGGCUGUUAUGAACCAGGUGUCUGGACUGAUAUGUUUUCUCACUCGGUCCACGACAUUCAUAAGAAGCAAGAUGACGACGUUGACGAGGUCAGCCAGCGCCAGGAUGAAAAGACAGACAUUGAUUCUCUCUCCAAGACCCUGUCUGUAGAACACCAUGGCGCUCAGCACGUUGCCGGGGAUUCCCAGGAACAGAAGAAACGGAAUCAUGAGCCAGCAGAUGACCGCCAUGAGGAUCUCAUAAAUCUUGAUAAGACAAAAGAAGAUGUCGGUGUGUGAAGCCCAAGAGGAAGUCUCAACAUCUGACGCCCAUGAAAGCCCGACAAAAUCACGCCAUGAUCAGGCCAGCGUGUCUCUUCCAUGGUGACAGUGCCAUAGAAACCAUUCGAC